rnacentral:misc_RNA from 1 species
AGAAAAGAUAAUUUAUCUACCACCAUAUGCUUUCCACCUGAUUUUGUUAAAGAAUAACAAAACUUCCACAUCGUUGGUUAAUGAGAUGGGUGGACUCUUAUAAGGUUUCCUCCUCUUUCGAACUAACUUUUGGCAAACCUAAUUUAACAUUGCACCAUCUUCUCUCGGCUUCAUCCAUUUGUAAGAUUUUUUCUCUCUGUUUCCAUAUCCAGUUAGGAGCACAAGUGCUCUUUGAUUUUUU